GUGGGGAAUAUUCCGCAAUGGACGAAAGUCUGACGGAGCAACGCCGCGUGAGUGAUGAAGGUUUUCGGACUGUAAAGCUCUGUUGUUUAGGACGAAAGUGCCUGUUGCGAAUAGUUACAGGUAUUGACGGUACUGAACGAGGAAGCCACGGCUAACUACGUGCCAGCAGCCGCGGUAAUACGUAGGUGGCAAGCGUUGUCCGGAAUUAUUGGGCGUAAAGCGCAUGUAGGCGGGAAUCUAAGUCUGUUGUGAAAAUGCGGGGCUCAACCCCGUAUUGCGAUGGAAACUGGGUUUCUUGAGUGCAGGAGAGGAAAGGGGAAUUCCCAGUGUAGCGGUGAAAUGCGUAGAUAUUGGGAGGAACACCAGUGGCGAAGGCGCCUUUCUGGACUGUGUCUGACGCUGAGAUGCGAAAGCCAGGGUAGCGAACGGGAUUAGAAACCCUGGUAGUCC
rnacentral:rRNA from 1 species